rnacentral:rRNA from 1 species
UACGAAGGGGGCUAGCGUUGCUCGGAAUUACUGGGCGUAAAGGGCUCGUAGGCGGCCAACUAAGUCAUACGUGAAAUCCCUCGGCUUAACCGGGGAACUGCGUCUGAUACUGGGCAGCUAGAGUGUGUCAGAGGAUGGUGGAAUUCCCGGUGUAGCGGUGAAAUGCGUAGAGAUCGGGAGGAACAUCAGUGGCGAAGGCGGCCAUCUGGGACAACACUGACGCUGAAGCACGAAAGCGUGGGGAGCAAACAGG